CCCUUAGAUGUUCUGGGCCGCACGCGUGCUACACUGAGUGGAUCAGCGGGUCAGGUUGCGCGAAAGUGUUUCCUAAUCUUGAAAUCCGCUCGUGAUGGGGAUUGACGGUUGCAAUUUUCCGUCAUGAACGAGGAAUACCUUGUAAGCGCGGGUCAUCAUCCCGCGCUGAAUACGUCCCUGCCCUUUGUACACACCGCCCGUCGCUCCUACCGAUUGAGUGGUCCGGUGAGGCUUUGGGAUCUGAGCAAAGAGAGCGUUUCGCUCGUUUGGCUCGGAAAACUCAGUCGAACCUUAUCAUUUAGAGGAAGGAGAAGUCGUAACA
rnacentral:rRNA from 1 species